GACAAACCUGCUAGCUGCUGCUCUCUUGACAGAAAAUUAUACUUGUGGAAUGCAAAUACUUAUAAAGUUGAAUUAGUAUCAGAAGCGAGCGAGCCGACUAUCUUGGUAGUGUAAACUGGUCUGAAAAUGGAGAAGUUGUAGCAGCGGGGUAUAGUUGCUCUAAAAUUCAUCUCUAUGAUGCUGAGUCGCUCCAUCUAGUGAGGUUGUUAGAGGGGCAGCGUGGACGUGUGGGAUAGCGUGGAAUGGUCACACACUAACUUGUGGAAGCUCUAGUGGAGCUAUCAUCAACCAUGAUGUGAGAGUGAGGAACAGUCAAGUGUGCCAUGUGAAAGUGCACAAGGGUGAAGUCUCUGGUUUGAAAUGGUCGGCCGCAGGGAGCAUGCUAGCCAGUGGUGCAAAUGAUACUCGAGUCUACUUGUGGAACGCAUGCAAGAUGAGCCCAAACCAUCACGUUUACAGAUUCAAUCAUCAU